rnacentral:rRNA from 1 species
UACGGGGGGGGGGUAAGCGUUGUUCGGAAUUACUGGGCGUAAAGGCUCGUAGGCGGCCAACUAAGUCAUACGUGAAAUCCCUCAGCUUAACUGGGGAACUGCGUGUGAUACUGGAUGGCUUGGAUUUGGGAGAGGGAUGCGGAAUUCCAGGUGUAGCGGUGAAAUGCGCAGAUAUCAGGAGGAACACCCGUAGCGAAGGCGGCACUCUGGGCCGAUACUGACACUGAGGAGCGAAAGCGUGGGGAGCGAACAGG